rnacentral:rRNA from 1 species
UUUUCCGGUUGAUCCUGCCGGAGGCCAUUGCUAUCGGAGUCCGAUUUAGCCAUGCUAGUCGCACGGGUUUAGACCCGUGGCAAAUAGCUCAGUAACACGUGGCCAAACUACCCUACGGACCGGAACAACCUCGGGAAACUGAGGCUAAUUCCGGAUACAGCUCUCGUGCUGGAGUGCAGAGAGCUGGAAACGCUCCGGCGCCGUAGGAUGUGGCUGCGGCCGAUUAGGUAGACGGUGGGGUAACGGCCCACCGUGCCAGUAAUCGGUACGGGUCAUGAGAGUGAGAGCCCGGAGACGGUAUCUGAGACAAGAUACCGGGCCCUACGGGGCGCAGCAGGCGCGAAACCUUUACACUGCACGACAGUGCGAUAAGGGGACUCCGAGUGCGAGGGCAUACAGUCCUCGCUUUUCUGUACCGUAAGGUGGUACAGGAACAAGGGCUGGGCAAGACCGGUGCCAGCCGCCGCGGUAAUACCGGCAGCCCGAGUGAUGGCCGAUAUUAUUGGGCCUAAAGCGUCCGUAGCCGGCCGGACAAGUCCGUUGGGAAAUCGACGCGCCUAACGCGUCGGCGUCCAGCGGAAACUGUCCGGCUUGGGGCCGGAAGACUCGAGGGGUACGUCCGGGGUAGGAGUGAAAUCCCGUAAUCCUGGACGGACCGCCGGUGGCGAAAGCGCCUCGAGAGGACGGACCCGACGGUCAGGGACGAAAGCUAGGGUCUCGAACCGGAUUAGAUACCCGGGUAGUCCUAGCUGUAAACGAUGCUCGCUAGGUGGGGGGCGCAGGCUACGAGCCUGCGCUGUGCCGUAGGGAAGCCGUGAAGCGAGCCGCCUGGGAANNNNNNCNGCAAGGAUGAAACUUAAAGGAAUUGGCGGGGGAGCACUACAACCGGAGGAGCCUGCGGUUUAAUUGGACUCAACGCCGGACAUCUCACCAGCACCGACAGUGGCUGUGAAGGUCAGUUUGAUGGGCUUACUGGAGCCACUGAGAGGAGGUGCAUGGCCGCCGUCAGCUCGUACCGUGAGGCGUCCUGUUAAGUCAGGCAACGAGCGAGACCCGCACUCCUAGUUGCCAGCAGCACGGUCACGUGGCUGGGU